rnacentral:rRNA from 1 species
GUACCCGCUGAACUUAAGCAUAUCAAUAAGCGGAGGAAAAGAAACCAACAGGGAUUGCCUCAGUAACGGCGAGUGAAGCGGCAACAGCUCAAAUUUGAAAUCUGGCCUCGGCCCGAGUUGUACUUUGCAGAGGGCGAUUCUGGUGAGGCACCUGCUGAGUCCCCUGGAACGGGGCGCCGCAGAGGGUGAGAGCCCCGUAGCGCAGGAUGCCGACCCGCUGUGAAUCCCCUUCGACGAGUCGAGUAGUUUGGGAAUGCUGCUCAAAAUGGGAGGUAAAUUCCUUCUAAAGCUAAAUACCGGCCAGAGACCGAUAGCGCACAAGUAGAGUGAUCGAAAGAUGAAAAGCACUUUGAAAAGAGGGUUAAACAGCACGUGAAAUUGUUGAAAGGGAAGCGCUCACGACCAGACUUGCGCCGGGGCGAUCAUCCGCUCUUCUGAGCGGUGCACUCGCCCCGGGGCAGGCCAGCAUCGGUUCCGGCGGGGGGACAAAAGCCCAGGGAAUGUGGCUCGCCUCGGCGAGUGUUAUAGCCCUGUCCACAAUGCCCCCGCGGGGACCGAGGUUCGCGCGUCUGCAAGGAUGCUGGCGUAAUGGUCAUCAGCGACCCGUCUUGAAACACGGACCAAGGAGUCAAGGUUUGGCGCGAGUGUCUGGGUGUCAAACCCGCACGCGUAAUGAAAGUGAACGCAGGUGAGAGCUUCGGCGCAUCAUCGACCGAUCCUGAUGUCCUCGGAUGGAUUUGAGUAGGAGCGUCAAGCCUUGGACCCGAAAGAUGGUGAACUAUGCUUGGAUAGGGUGAAGCCAGAGGAAACUCUGGUGGAGGCUCGCAGCGGUUCUGACGUGCAAAUCGAUCGUCAAAUCUGAGCAUGGGGGCGAAAGACUAAUCGAACCAUCUAGUAGCUGGUUACCGCCGAAGUUUCCCUCAGGAUAGCAGUGUUGUUCUUCAGUUUUAUGAGGUAAAGCGAAUGAUUAGGGACUCGGGGGCGCCAUAUUGCCUUCAUCCAUUCUCAAACUUUAAAUAUGUAAGAAGCCCUUGUUACUUAGCUGAACGUGGGCGUUCGAAUGUACCAACACUAGUGGGCCAUUUUUGGUAAGCAAAACUGGCG